rnacentral:rRNA from 1 species
CCUACGGGUGGCAGCAGUGAGGAAUAUUGGUCAAUGGUCGGGAGACUGAACCAGCCAAGCCGCGUGAGGGAUGAAGGUACAGAGUAUCGUAAACCUCUUUUGUCAGGGAUCAAAGGCGGGGACGUGUCCCCGGAUGAGUGUACCUGACGAAAAAGCAUCGGCUAACUCCGUGCCAGCAGCCGCGGUAAUACGGAGUAUGCGCGCGUUAUCGGGAUUUAUUGGGUUUAAGGGGUGCGCAGGCGGUAUGUAAGGUCAGCGUUAAAAGCCCGGGCUGAAACACGGGACCGCGGUUGAAACUGGCAGUCUAGAGUUGGAGAGAAGUAUGCGGAAGGCGCGGUGUAGCGGUGAAAUGCAUAGAUAUCGCGCAGAACUCCGAUUGCGAAGGCAGCAUGCCGGCUCCAAACUGACGCUGAGGCACGAAAGCGUGGGUAUCGAACAGGAUUAGAUACCCUUGUAGUC